rnacentral:other from 1 species
UAGUCCCUGCGGUGUGCGUGAUCUUGCUUUUGUAUUGAGCCAACACCUAGGUCGAGGGGGCCUGACUCCAGAUGUGGAGCUGACUGGAACCUAACGGUUCUGCGGCGCCACGGGAGGCACCCCACUUUGCGAUCAUAGGUUCACAUACUCUGGCGAGACACGGCAUUGUGGGGAUUAC